CGUGCUAAGGUAGCAUAAUCACUUGGUCUUUAAUUGAGGUCUGGUAUGAACGGUCAAACAAAGACAAACUUCUUAUUUAUAAAGAUAAAACUUAAGUUUUAUGUAAAAACGCUUAAAUAGUUGUGGGACGACAAGACCCUAAAAGCUUUAUCUUAUUUUAAAAAGAUACAUUAUUAUCUAAUUAAUUUGUUAGAUUUAGUUGGGGUAACAACUUUAAAUAUAUUAAGGUAAUUUUAAUACAUACUAGUAUAUCAAGACCCUUAAUAUUAGGGAAAAGGUAAAAGUUACUUUAGGGGUAACAGGGUAAUUAUUUUUUGGAGUUCUUAUCUACAAAAUAGAUUGCCACCUCGAUGUUGAAUUAAGAUGCCUACGCUAUGCAAAAGGUGCGAAAGGGGGUUUGUUCAACCUUUAAUUUCUUACAUGAUCUGAG
rnacentral:rRNA from 1 species